GGUCAAGCGAAUAAGCGCACACGGUGGAUGCCUUGGCGGUCAGAGGCGAUGAAGGACGUGGCAGCCUGCGAAAAGUAUCGGGGAGCUGGCAACAAGCUUUGAUCCGGUAAUGUCCGAAUGGGGAAACCCACCCGCUUGCGGGUAUCCUGCAGUGAAUACAUAGCUGCUGGAAGCGAACCUGGUGAACUGAAAUAUCUAAGUAACCAGAGGAAAAGAAAUCAACCGAGAUUCCGUAAGUAGCGACGAGCGAACGCGGACUAGCCCUUAAGCUGAUUUGGUUCUAGGAAAACGCUCUGGAAAGAGCGGCCAUAGAAGGUGAUAGCCCUGUAUCUGAAAGGGCCAUUUCAGUGAAGACGAGUAGGGCGGGGCACGUGAAACCCUGUCUGAACAUGGGGGGACCAUCCUCCAAGGCUAAAUACUACUGACCGACCGAUAGUGAACCAGUACCGUGAGGGAAAGGCGAAAAGAACCCCGGAGAGGGGAGUGAAAUAGAACCUGAAACCGUGUGCGUACAAGCAGUAGGAGCUCCGCAAGGAGUGACUGCGUACCUUUUGUAUAAUGGGUCAGCGACUUACUGUUCGUGGCAAGCUUAACCGUAUAGGGGAGGCGAAGGGAAACCGAGUCUGAUAAGGGCGCAUAGUCGCGGGCAGUAGACCCGAAACCGGGUGAUCUAGUCAUGCCCAGGGUGAAGGUGCGGUAACACGCACUGGAGGCCCGAACCCACUCCCGUUGCAAAGGUAGGGGAUGAGGUGUGAUUAGGAGUGAAAAGCUAAUCGAACCCGGAGAUAGCUGGUUCUCCUCGAAAGCUAUUUAGGUAGCGCCUCAUAUGUAUCCUCUCGGGGGUAGAGCACUGUUAUGGCUAGGGGGUCAUCGCGACUUACCAAACCAUUGCAAACUCCGAAUACCGAGACGGACUGUAUGGGAGACACACGGCGGGUGCUAACGUCCGUCGUGAAAAGGGAAACAACCCAGACCCACAGCUAAGGUCCCAAAUUUUGUGCUAAGUGGAAAACCAUGUGGAAAGGCACAGACAGCCAGGAGGUUGGCUUAGAAGCAGCCACCCUUUAAAGAAAGCGUAAUAGCUCACUGGUCGAGUCGGUCUGCGGGGAAGAUUUAACGGGGCUAAGCACAGAACCGAAGCUUGGGGUGCAUAACUUUGUUAUGCGCGGUAGAGGAGCGUUCCGUAAGCCGUUGAAGGUGGAUUGAGAAGUCUGCUGGAGGUAUCGGAAGUGCGAAUGCUGACAUGAGUAACGAUAAUGCGGGUGAAAAACCCGCACGCCGAAAGCCCAAGGUUUCCUUGCGCAACGUUAAUCGGCGCAGGGUGAGUCGGCCCCUAAGGCGAGGACGAAAGUCGUAGUCGAUGGGAAGCAGGUUAAUAUUCCUGCACCUCGCGUAAGUGCGAUGGAGGGACGGAGAAGGUUAGGUGUACCAGGCGUUGGUUGUCCUGGGGAAAGGCGGUAGGUUUGGAUCUUUGGCAAAUCCGGGAUCCUCUAAGACCGAGCACCGAGACGAGCCUUUAUGGCGAAGUCACUGAUACCACGCUUCCAGGAAAAGCUCCUAAGCUUCAGCUUACGCAGACCGUACCGUAAACCGACACAGGUGGGUAGGAUGAGAAUUCUCAGGCGCUUGAGAGAACUCGGGUGAAGGAACUAGGCAACAUGGCACCGUAACUUCGGGAGAAGGUGCACCCUUUUUGGUGGCUCGUGCGAGCUAUAGCUGAAGAGGGUCGCAGUAACCAGGCCGCUGCGACUGUUUAUCAAAAACACAGCACUCUGCAAACACGAAAGUGGACGUAUAGGGUGUGACGCCUGCCCGGUGCUGGAAGGUUAAUUGAUGGGGUCAGCCGCAAGGCGAAGCUCUUGAUCGAAGCCCCAGUAAACGGCGGCCGUAACUAUAACGGUCCUAAGGUAGCGAAAUUCCUUGUCGGGUAAGUUCCGACCUGCACGAAUGGCGUAACGACAGCGGCGCUGUCUCCACCCGAGACUCAGUGAAAUUGAAAUCGCUGUGAAGAUGCAGCGUUCCCGUGGCAAGACGGAAAGACCCCGUGAACCUUUACUAUAGCUUUACACUGAACGUUGAGUUCGUCUGUGUAGGAUAGGUGGGAGGCUAUGAAACCAUGGCGCUAGCUGUGGCGGAGCCAUCCUUGAAAUACCACCCUGUCGUGCUUGACGUUCUAACCUGGGCCCAUUAUCUGGGUCGGGGACCGUGUAUGGUGGGUAGUUUGACUGGGGCGGUCUCCUCCUAAAGAGUAACGGAGGAGCUCGAAGGUACGCUCAGCGCGGUCGGACAUCGCGCACUGUGUGCAAAGGCAUAAGCGUGCUUGACUGCAAGAUCGACGGAUCAAGCAGGUAGGAAACUAGGACUUAGUGAUCCGGUGGUUCUGUAUGGAAGGGCCAUCGCUCAACGGAUAAAAGGUACUCCGGGGAUAACAGGCUGAUACCGCCCAAGAGUUCAUAUCGACGGCGGUGUUUGGCACCUCGAUGUCGGCUCAUCACAUCCUGGGGCUGUAGUCGGUCCCAAGGGUAUGGCUGUUCGCCAUUUAAAGUGGUACGCGAGCUGGGUUCAGAACGUCGUGAGACAGUUCGGUCCCUAUCUGCCAUGGGCGUUGGAGAUUUGAGAGGGGCUGCUCCUAGUACGAGAGGACCGGAGUGGACGAACCUCUGGUGUUCCGGUUGUCACGCCAGUGGCAUUGCCGGGUAGCUAUGUUCGGAAGCGAUAACCGCUGAAAGCAUCUAAGCGGGAAGCGCGCCUCAAGAUGAGAUCUCCCGGGGCACAAGCCCCCUGAAGGAACCAUGUAGACUACGUGGUUGAUAGGUCAGGUGUGUAAGUACAGCAAUGUAUUGAGCUAACUGAUACUAAUGAUCCGUGCGGCUUGACCAU
rnacentral:rRNA from 1 species